CUUGGCACAUUUCGAAGCCAUGGUGUCUGUCUGUAGAUUUUGUGGUCAAACUUGUGCCAAUAUCAACUCCUUCCAGACGGUCGCUAAAUGUAGUUUACCAUACGCAUUUGGCAUACAUACUGAGGGAUACAGUU